UAAGCAAAAAGUACGCCACAAAAAUAACAAAAAUUUCAAAUGAAACAAAUCAACUUGUUCCCAAAUGAUGUGGUCAUUGUGAUCUAAUCCAGCUCAAUCCAGCCCACAUGUUCCUACACACACACACACACACACACACACACACACACACACCCUUUAAGCCUCCUGCGUGUGAAAAGGUAAAGCCUUCACGUGACGAACAGCUGUAACAUUUCGCGUGGGACCUCGGUCUGUCACAGCCAAAUCUCACUCGCUCCUCUCUUACAGCUCCGCUGAAACCUUAUUGUCCAGGCCCUCUGCCCUGCUCCAUCAGACAUGCGUGAUUUAUCGCCCGGGCUGCUGGGCCUGACAGCAAAAAACACAAUGACACACACACACACACACACACACACACACACACACACACACACACACACACACACACACACAAUCAGAAGCAGAUGAAUCUCAUUUCAAAGACUACAGCUGUGUAUAUAAUUGGCCGUGCAAGGGCGAAACAGACAAGACAAAAAAAAAAAUCUCCAUAAAUAGAUAAAUAAAUAAAGAUGCCGCGACUAAAAAUAAUUCAGGGAUGGCGUUGGGAAGAAGAAGUCGACCCCAGUGGAUGCGGGACUGUUUAAAUCAUUCAAAAAUAGAUCCGGAGGGGAGGAGAUGAGGAGGAGGUGAAAGAAGGAGAGGAGAGGAGAGGAGAGGAGAGGAGGAAAGGCGGAAGGGUGCUAGGCCUUGCCUUGAAAUGGAGAGCCUGACUGGAAUACUAAUGCGUCUGAAUUUAUGCAUCUCCUCAGUCUGCAGCCCUGAGAGGAGAGGAGAGGAGAGGGGGCGGGGGAGAUAGAGAGAGAGAAAGAGAGAGAGAAAGAGAAAGAGGGUGAGGGUGGAGGUGAAAGAGGGCGGUUAUGUAGAAGAAGAGAAAAGUAAAAGCAUGGCUGAUUGAUUCCAUCCAUCUGUUUUAGUUUGAAAUAAUCCUGGAUUUCUCGGGGUGUGGACGGAGGAGGAGGCGAACCCGAAACAACAUGACCCUGGAAGAGGGAGAGGAGGCAGAACCGAAGAAACGAGCAGCACCGAGCCAAGGUUCCGGGGGGCGGGGUGGACCGCAGCGUCCCUUCAGCCUCUUCCAGAAAGAGAAAUAAAAAGAAUAAUCGAAACAUUAUUAUUAUUAUUAUUUUAAAAAGUAACCAGUCCGCUCUGUGUGAAUUAUUCACCAGUUGGGUUGAGAGAGAGAGAGAAAAAAGAUUGACUCGAGAGAUCCGUGAGGAAAACAAGAAACAGGUGAAAGAUGAAAGCACACUUCAGAGGCGUCAAACGAUAACCUUCAGCUAAUUUUUCUGUUUUUUUUUGUUUGUUUGUUUGUUUGUCAAAACUCUUUAAGUUGUGUGACUCAGCGCUGCUCUCCAGCAGAUAAUUGAGCCUGAAUCAGAUGUUAAGUGACUGAUGAUCAGACAAGGACAGGAGCAGCAGAGAGCCAGAGGUGUUUACGAUGUAACAGGAUCUCAAGGAUGGCUAGCGGGACACACGGCUAACUGUGAUGUUUACAGUGAAAUUGGCAAAGUAGGGGGUCAGAGAAAGGACAAAACAACGUCCUGUUUCUAUUUAAUUACACGGGAGAGAGAAGCGCGGAGCUGGAGUCAGUUUGCUGAAGAGCAGCAGCUCCAAAAAAUAAAAUAAAAACUAACUGGGAGAGACAGCUGGGAGGUUGUUAGAGAAAACUGUCUGUGAUCAGCCAGUCAUAAAUGUGUUUUCAUACACAUUCAUAUGCGCUCUCUCAAAACCAAAUGUGCUUCAGCUGAGUUCUCUUCUAUAUUAGUGUGAAACAUUACUUAUGUACAAAAAAAGAGCAACAAAGCAAAACGACAAACUAUAAAGAAUUAAAUAGGAUGCACUGAUUACCAAAAGGCACAAAAAAAGCAAAGAUAAAUUCAAACUUGUCUAUUUCUAUUUGUCGCUUCUACAGACGACUAGAGGCAUAAGUGGACUGCUUAGGGUCUCCAGGCCACCAGGGGGCUCCCAAGAGCUUCUAACUCCUUAUAGAUGUAAAAAAAAAAAAACACACACACACAAAAAAAAAAACAACAACUUUAUAUUAGUUGUGAGCUUUUUCUACUAGCGUACUUUGCGUACUCUGUGAGCUGUGAGGAUUGUUUGUACAAACAGUCGAGAUUUCAUAGUCAGGUGUACUGUUUUUUGACAUUUCUCGUGACAAUUCACUUCAUUUCCCACAAUCCAAAUGGACGUGUUUCUUGUCCAUCAGGGCAGCCGCCGCCCACCUGUCAGCGCAGGACAGAGAGCGGCAGUCGGGCUGUGAGUCCACGCUGCUGGUUUACCAGCUUUCAGCCGCGGUGUUCUCCAGCAUACUAAACAUUUCGGUGUGAACUCGUUUCCUACCGAGCGGUUUACUGUGUGACACCAUGUUCUUAUACCAGUUCCUAACACUUCUACUUCGAGCCGUCAUGUUCACUAGAGAUGUGUGAUAUUAUACUGCAUAUUUUGGUAUUGAUCAAGUAAAUAUAGGAAGCAUAUGACCAGUACCGAUACCAAUACUGAUACUUUGUACACAAGUUUGAUAUGUUAUAAAACUUCUGACC